rnacentral:rRNA from 1 species
GAUGAACGCUGACAGAAUGCUUAACACAUGCAAGUCUUUGGCGAAUCUGUGCUUGCACAGGCUAGCCAAGGCGGACGGGUGAGUAACGCGUAAAGAACUUGCCCUGCAGACAGGGAUAACAGACGGAAACGACUGAUAACACCUGAUACAGUUGCCGGCACGCAUGUGCCUGGCAAUGAAAAGAGAUGCUGCAGGAGAGCUUUGCGUCCUAUUAGCUUGUUGGUGAGGUGACGGCUCACCAAGGCGAUGAUAGGUAGCCGGCCUGAGAGGGUGAACGGCCACAAGGGGACUGAGAUACGGCACUUACUCCUACGGGAGGCAGCAGUGGGGAAUAUUGGACAAUGGGGGCAACCCUGAUCCAGCAAUUCUGUGUGCACGAAGAAGGUUUUCGGAUUGUAAAGUGCUUUCAGCAGGGAAGAAGAAAGUGACGGUACCUGCAGAAGAAGCGACGGCUAAAUACGUG